UACGAAGGGGGCUAGCGUUGUUCGGAAUUACUGGGCGUAAAGCGCGCGCAGGCGGUUCUUUAAGUCAGGGGUGAAAUCCCGGGGCUCAACCCCGGAACUGCCCUUGAAACUGCAGUGCUAGAAUUCUGGAGAGGCGAGUGGAAUUCCGAGUGUAGAGGUGAAAUUCGUAGAUAUUCGGAAGAACACCAGUGGCGAAGGCGACUCGCUGGACAGACAUUGACGCUGAGGUGCGAAAGCGUGGGGAGCAAACAGG
rnacentral:rRNA from 1 species